GGCCCCGCCCCCGUCAUGGCGCCCGAGGAGAACGCGGGGAGCGAACUCUUGCUGCAGAGUUUCAAGCGCCGCUUCCUGGCAGCGCGCGCCCUGCGCUCCUUCCGCUGGCAGAGCUUAGAAGCAAAGUUAAGAGACUCAUCAGAUUCUGAGCUGCUGCGGGAUAUUUUGCAGAAGACUGUGAAGCAUCCUGUGUGUGUGAAGCACCCGCCGUCAGUCAAGUAUGCCCGGUGCUUUCUCUCAGAACUCAUCAAAAAGCACGAGGCUGUCCACACAGAGCCUUUGGAUGAGCUGUACGAGGUGCUGGUGGAGACCCUGAUGGCCAAGGAGUCCACCCAGGGCCACCGGAGCUAUUUGCUGACGUGCUGUAUUGCCCAGAAGCCAUCGUGUCGCUGGUCGGGGUCCUGCGGAGGCUGGCUGCCUGCCGGGAGCACCAGCGGGCUCCUCAAUUCUACAUGGCCCUUACCGUCUGCAACCCAGAGAUGUGCCAGCUGUUCACCACCGAGCUAUAGAGCACUUGGAGAUGGCAAAGCUGAACCUCACACUGUAGGACUCACACAUGACUCCAACGGGAUUGUGAGAAUUAAGUCACUCUCGUGGGAAGAAUUUUUAUAUGGGAAAGCGGAUAAAACUUUCAUUGGACUGGAAUGUUUGGAGAAUGUUAAAUUCCAAAUCAGGAACCACAAACUGCGCUCUAAUAAGACAUCGGCUAUCUAAGCAUGUGGGUUCCCCCUUUCUGCCAGCAGUUCUGGUUCUUAAGAAAAUCACCAUAAAUCAGACAUGAAAAUUCUGGCUCCAAAAA
rnacentral:lncRNA from 1 species